rnacentral:rRNA from 1 species
CGGGGUACUCGAGCGGCGAACGGGUGAGUAACACGUGAGUAACCUGCCCCAGGCUUUGGGAUAACCCUCGGAAACGGGGGCUAAUACCGGAUAUUCACUUUCCGUGGCAUCACGGUUGGUGGAAAGUUUUUCGGCUUGGGAUGGGCUCGCGGCCUAUCAGCUUGUUGGUGGGGUGAUGGCCUACCAAGGCGACGACGGGUAGCCGGCCUGAGAGGGCGACCGGCCACACUGGGACUGAGACACGGCCCAG